rnacentral:rRNA from 1 species
GACGAACGCUGGCGGCGUGCUUAACACAUGCAAGUCGAACGGUAAGGCUCCAGCUUGCUGGGGUACACGAGUGGCGAACGGGUGAGUAACACGUGGGUGACCUGCCCUGCACUUCGGGAUAAGCCUGGGAAACUGGGUCUAAUACCGGAUAGGACCGCACCGUGAGGGUGUGGUGGAAAGUUUUUUCGGUGUGGGAUGGGCCCGCGGCCUAUCAGCUUGUUGGUGGGGUAAUGGCCUACCAAGGCGGCGACGGGUAGCCGGCCUGAGAGGGUGGACGGCCACAUUGGGACUGAGACACGGCCCAGACUCCUACGGGAGGCAGCAGUGGGGAAUAUUGCACAAUGGGCGGAAGCCUGAUGCAGCGACGCCGCGUGGGGGAUGACGGCCUUCGGGUUGUAAACUCCUCUCACCAUCGACGAAGGGUUUCUGACGGUAGAUGGAGAAGAAGCACCGGCUAACUACGUGCCAGCAGCCGCGGUAAUACGUAGGGUGCGAGCGUUGUCCGGAAUUACUGGGCGUAAAGAGCUCGUAGGUGGUUUGUCGCGUCGUCUGUGAAAUUCCGGGGCUUAACUCCGGGCGUGCAGGCGAUACGGGCAUAACUUGAGUACUGUAGGGGAGACUGGAAUUCCUGGUGUAGCGGUGAAAUGCGCAGAUAUCAGGAGGAACACCGGUGGCGAAGGCGGGUCUCUGGGCAGUAACUGACGCUGAGGAGCGAAAGCAUGGGGAGCGAACAGGAUUAGAUACCCUGGUAGUCCAUGCCGUAAACGGUGGGCGCUAGGUGUGGGUUUCCUUCCACGGGAUCCGUGCCGUAGCUAACGCAUUAAGCGCCCCGCCUGGGGAGUACGGCCGCAAGGCUAAAACUCAAAGGAAUUGACGGGGGCCCGCACAAGCGGCGGAGCAUGUGGAUUAAUUCGAUGCAACGCGAAGAACCUUACCUGGGCUUGACAUAUACAGGAUCGCGCCAGAGAUGGUGUUUCCCUUGUGGCUUGUAUACAGGUGGUGCAUGGUUGUCGUCAGCUCGUGUCGUGAGAUGUUGGGUUAAGUCCCGCAACGAGCGCAACCCUUGUCUUAUGUUGCCAGCACGUCGUGGUGGGGACUCGUAAGAAACUGCCGGGGUUAACUCGGAGGAAGGUGGGGAUGACGUCAAAUCAUCAUGCCCCUUAUGUCCAGGGCUUCACACAUGCUACAAUGGUCGGUACAGUGGGUUGCCAGUCCGUGAGGGCGAGCUAAUCCCGCAAAGCCGGUCUCAGUUCGGAUCGGGGUCUGCAACUCGACCCCGUGAAGUCGGAGUCGCUAGUAAUCGCAGAUCAGCAACGCUGCGGUGAAUACGUUCCCGGGCCU